rnacentral:tRNA from 1 species
AGCGCGGUGGGACAGCCAGGAGUGUCCGUCGGGCUCAUAACCCGAAUAUGGUUUAAAGAAAUUUAAAUCGUCGGUUUGGUCGGUAGUUCAAAUCUACCCCGCGCUA